AGUGAACGCUGGCGGUAGGCCUAACACAUGCAAGUCGAACGGCAGCACAGUAAGAGCUUGCUCUUACGGGUGGCGAGUGGCGGACGGGUGAGGAAUACAUCGGAAUCUACUUUUUCGUGGGGGAUAACGUAGGGAAACUUACGCUAAUACCGCAUACGACCUACGGGUGAAAGCAGGGGAUCUUCGGACCUUGCGCGAUUGAAUGAGCCGAUGUCGGAUUAGCUAGUUGGCGGGGUAAAGGCCCACCAAGGCGACGAUCCGUAGCUGGUCUGAAAGGAUGAUCCGCCACACUGGAACUGAGACACGGUCCAGACUCCUACGGGAGGCAGCAGUGGGGAAUAUUGGACAAUGGGCGCAAGCCUGAUCCAGCCAUACCGCGUGGGUGAAGAAGGCCUUCGGGUUGUAAAGCCCUUUUGUUGGGAAAGAAAAGCAGCAGGUUAAUACCCCGCUGUUCUGACGGUACCCAAAGAAUAAGCACCGGCUAACUUCGUG
rnacentral:rRNA from 1 species